rnacentral:lncRNA from 1 species
CCUUGGUCUACUGUGUGGGCUAAUGAGCAGCUGUAAAGCAUGAUGUAUGUGUAAUGUGUAGUGUAAAAUAUUUAACACCUCUCUUGAGAAAGAAAAUCCUAACUGUCCACCUGCAACUGUCACCCACACUAAUUAAUUCCAGUUUAGGAUAUAGACACAAAGGGUCCCACCAAAUCAAGCACAUGCCUAUGAAGGGAUUGAACAGGUGAAAGAGCGAGACUACCACCCACCGUCAACAAAAUCACAAUGCCUUUGGAGGAAUUAUGCUUACCACAGACCAGCCAACCUGCCCCUGUGCUUUGCAGAAUUCACACCUUCAGCCAAAAAGACCAAGAGUUCCUGGGAGACAAGAAGCAUCCUUCAUUUGAGGGUGUGGGAAGGAGCACAGACAUAUAUGGUCUAUGACCACAGGUAGGAAAAUAACUUGGAAUUUUCACAGGUGAGCACCUAUCACUGCAGCCAUGUUGCAGGUCGUGUCCUUGGAACAUAAUUGGAUCUGUCAGCCCUGACAAACACAGGAUUUCUGCUCCAAUCCACUGAGAACCCACUGUUCUAACUGCUUGUGGGAUUUGUAUUACUACCUGCCUUGCUUCUCCCACAUGAUUCUUGUUCAUUUGAGUCUUUUCACGUGCUCUUGCUCUAUGAUAUGCUGGCCAGUCUAUACAGCAUUCCACUUGAUCAUCUGCUGGAAAAGGGGCUUUCUGUUGACUUUUAAAACCUGUAUUAGUUGAACAGUCAACUAAUAUAGUAAGUUUCAAGGUAAGGUUCUUUUGAAUAUUUGAAAAGAAAAAUCCCAUGG